AGUGAACGCUGGCGGUAGGCCUAACACAUGCAAGUCGAACGGCAGCACAGGAGAGCUUGCUCUCUGGGUGGCGAGUGGCGGACGGGUGAGGAAUACAUCGGAAUCUACCCUGUCGUGGGGGAUAACGUAGGGAAACUUACGCUAAUACCGCAUACGACCUACGGGUGAAAGCAGGGGGUCUUCGGACCUUGCGCGAUUGAAUGAGCCGAUGUCGGAUUAGCUAGUUGGCGGGGUAAAGGCCCACCAAGGCGACGAUCCGUAGCUGGUCUGAGAGGAUGAUCAGCCACACUGGAACUGAGACACGGUCCAGACUCCUACGGGAGGCAGCAGUGGGGAAUAUUGGACAAUGGGCGCAAGCCUGAUCCAGCCAUACCGCGUGGGUGAAGAAGGCCUUCGGGUUGUAAAGCCCUUUUGUUGGGAAAGAAAUCCAGCUGGCUAAUACCCGGUUGGGAUGACGGUACCCAAAGAAUAAGCACCGGCUAACUUCGUGCCAGCCGCCGCCGUAA
rnacentral:rRNA from 1 species